AGUCUUGUCUUUUCCUGGUUUUAAGAGCUGCAUUACAGUAAAAUGAUGUAAUUUUCUGAACUUACCAGACUGUUCCAUCAUUGAGUGCACUUAUAUGGACAUGAAUAACCCAUUUAUGAUCGGGAUUUUGGAGCAUCCUGUCUGUGUGUUUGAGCAUGUGAACACCAGAAUAUGCUCGCUGGAGUACUCUGAAAGAAACCUGGAUGUAUACAGGUAAUAUGAAUAACCCGAUUUCUCUGUGCUUAUGUAAACACUACAUCCCGAAUGUGAUCAUAACCGUGACAAGUCUCAUUAAACAGGUAAUUCAUGUCCAUGUAAUUUCACUCAUUAUAUCCAUAUUACUGCUGAGUAUUUAUCAAAAAUCUUAUCCUGUAAAUAUUUUGUGAAGCACCUACAAUCAACCCUACAAUACUGCAAUAACGAUAUUAAGUUACCUGGUCAAAAAUAUACAGAUGUUUAGUAUUUUAUUUCCAAUGGUUAAAGAUAUACUGCACAGGAUUUUCCUAAAACAUGAUGCAUAGACCCUUACAGAAGUAAUCCCUCUCAAGCCUCACUUAUGACCCACUGGAAGUGUGUGGCGCUGUGUUUUUCUGCAGAGACUCUGCCCUCUGCCUGUAUUUUCUUAUGUUCUUCUCAUUUACUGUGUUCUGGACAUUUAUGGGCAUGAACCCCCACAGUGUUUAGGUGAGAUCGUGGCUUUAUAAAAAGGUAGCGACCAGGUGCUAGACUGUAAGCAGCAGCCAGCCAGGAGACACAGCGCUGAAAGAAGGCAAACAUAUCAAGGCUAAACACCUAACAGGAGUGAAUCUGGAGUUGGCCUUUACUUUCAUUUUCGCAAACAGUAACUGGCAAUCCUCCUAUAGUGUACCUUUAAUACAAAAGAUAACACGGCAGGUAUUAUACUUUAAACCGCAAUCACAGGCAAUAAGAAGGUCACUCCCUGCAUGUAAACAAGCCUCUGAUUUGAUGUUGACUAUAGUGCUAGCUGGAGGUUGAUCCACUAAGCUCAUAUUAAGACAGUGUUCAGUCAGUAAUGUGUGACAGGACUGUUUUUACUUCCCACACUGGCUUUUACCCAUAAUUUAAUAGUUAUACGUGUGCCUGCUGGCCAAACACUCAUGCGGGGUAUUUACUGUACAUACUGGCUUCCCUUUCCCUAUCAAUAUACAUCUUAUUAAUAUAUAUUAUUGACACCAUCAUUAUCAAGUUAGACUAUUAGUGCUUUUUGAUAUUACAUCACAGGUCCAUCAAAUGUCUUUGAAUAGCGCAACCAGCUGGCUAGUCAGCAUCACCUUUUCUCAUUCAAACAUCAGAUGCAACGCUGUGAAAAUAAAGUAUCACCGUCUCGAGUGAAGUGAUGCUUGAACUUCUCAAAGACCCCAGUGAUCAACGAUCAGUGUCCUAUGAUCUUUCAGCACGAUUUAAACACACGCACGCAUACACACACACAUUGUCUAAAAGAGAUAACACUUUGGCCACUCGCGCUCAAACAUGUUGUGCUUUAAAAGUGCUGAAUAUAACUCUGGAGAAAGAGAUGUUGGGUCUCAUUCCCAGCAAUCAGCUAUCUUUCUCCAGAGUUACAUGCAGCACCUUAAAGUUUAAAGGUUGUAUUUUCCACAUCAAGCUGGAGCUCAAACUCAUGCUUUAGGGUGAAGAAGUAGGAAAUGAGACAGACAUUUUGCGUUGGCCACAGUGAAAGAACACCCCCCCCCCAAAUCUCACAUUCUACAGUUAACUGGAAAAUGCUGGA